rnacentral:rRNA from 1 species
UACGUAGGGUGCAAGCGUUGUCCGGAAUUAUUGGGCGUAAAGAGCUCGUAGGCGGUUUGUUGCGUCGGCUGUGAAAACCUGAGGCUCAACCUCAGGCCUGCAGUCGAUACGAGCAGACUAGAGUGUUGCAGGGGAGACUGGAAUUCCUGGUGUAGCGGUGAAAUGCGCAGAUAUCAGGAGGAACACCGGUGGCGAAGGCGGGUCUCUGGGCAACAACUGACGCUGAGGAGCGAAAGCGUGGGGAGCGAACAGGAUAGAU